rnacentral:tRNA from 1 species
GAGCGUCGCUCCUGCUUUCGCGGCUUUGCAAGCCGCAGGUCGCCGGUUCGAUCCCGGCACGCUCCA